rnacentral:misc_RNA from 1 species
GUUCGACCCGUAUCACCAGAACGCGCCGAGAAUGAGCACGAACGAGCGGAGAGGACCUUUCUGAGGAGGGUAAUUUGGCGUUUGUUGUCGAUAUUUGGAGAGGAGGAUCGUUGCGACGCGAAGAAAAGGGGAGGAGGACGAUAUACAUACACCGCACACACUCGAGGAAGAGGACGCACGGACCUUACUACCUAUCUUGUUUUCUCCAGGCUGAUCUACCUACCUAUCUCUGUCUUUCACCACACCGCAUUCGUUGCACGCUGCUAUCGCAUUCUUCUGUGCAUUCGCGAUUACUCCUUGCGUGUG